rnacentral:sRNA from 1 species
AUUAUCUAAUUGAAUAAUUUCAUGAUUUCCCCUUCCUAUUUGAUAUUGAUUAACUCACCAAUCCAUAUGUAAUGGAACUCUAUUCGCUUUUCUGAUUGAUACUCUAUUCGCUUUUCUGAUUGAUAUAGUAAAUAAUUGAUAUAUAAAAUAAUAGAAUUAGGAAAUCCUCUAUUUACUAUAUCAAUCACUGAAUAAUAACUUUUUUGUUGACAAAAGAAUAAAGAUCAUUUCUAUUCCAAGGUGGGGAGUUUUAUUUUCCCUAUCGACCUA